rnacentral:rRNA from 1 species
CAGCAUAUCAAUAAGCGGAGGAAAAGAAACCAACAGGGAUUGCCCUAGUAACGGCGAGUGAAGCGGCAACAGCUCAAAUUUGAAAUCUGGCCUUCUGGUCCGAAUUGUAAUUUGCAGAGGAUGCAUUUGACGCGGUACCUUUCGAGUUCCUUGGAACAGGACGCCUUAGAGGGUGAGAGCCCCGUACGAUUGGCCACCAAGUCUCUGUAAUGCUCCUUCGACGAGUCGAGUAGUUUGGGAAUGCUGCUCUAAAUGGGAGGUAAAUUUCUUCUAAAGCUAAAUACCGGCCAGAGACCGAUAGCGCACAAGUAGAGUGAUCGAAAGAUGAAAAGCACUUUGAAAAGAGGGUUAAAUAGCACGUGAAAUUGUUGAAAGGGAAGCGCUUAUGACCAGACUUUUUCUAGGGGGAUCAUCCGGCGUUCUCGCUGGUGCACUUCCCCUGGUUUAGGCCAACAUCGGUUUCUGCGGGAGGAUAAAGGCUUCGGGAAUGUGACUCCUCCGGGAGUGUUAUAGCCCGUUGCAUAAUACCCUCGCGGGGACCGAGGUACGCGCAUUGCAAGGAUGUUGGCAUAAUGGUCAUCAGUGACCCGUCUUGAAACACGGACCAAGGAGUCGAACAUUUGUGCGAGUGUUUGGGUGUCAAACCCUCACGCGUAAUGAAAGUGAACGGAGGUGAGAGCCUUAGGGUGCAUCAUCGACCGAUCCUGAUGUCUUCGGAUGGAUUUGAGUAAGAGCAUAACUGUUCGGACCCGAAAGAUGGUGAACUAUGCGUGGAUAGGGUGAAGCCAGAGGAAACUCUGGUGGAGGCUCGCAGCGGUUCUGACGUGCAAAUCGAUCGUCAAAUCUGCGCAUGGGGGCGAAAGACUAAUCGAACCAUCUAGUAGCUGGUUACCGCCGA